GCUGGGCAUGGUGGCGCGUGCCUGUAGUCACAGCUACUCAGGAGGCUGAGGCAGGAGAAUUGCUUGAACCCAGGAGACGGAGGUUGCAGUGAGCCGAGAUUGCGCGGCUGCAGUCCAGCCUGGGUGACAGAGCAAGACUCUGUCUCUA
rnacentral:SRP_RNA from 2 species